GGCCCCUUGGCUCAGCGGUAAGAGCGUCCAAUACAUAAUUGGCAGGUCGCUGGUUCAAAUCCAGCGGGGCCACCA
rnacentral:tRNA from 1 species